AACGAACGCUGGCGGCAUGCCUAACACAUGCAAGUCGAACGAGACCUUCGGGUCUAGUGGCGCACGGGUGCGUAACGCGUGGGAACCUGCCUUUAGGUUCGGAAUAACUCAGAGAAAUUUGAGCUAAUACCGGAUGAUGUCUUCGGACCAAAGAUUUAUCGCCUUUAGAUGGGCCCGCGUUGGAUUAGCUAGUUGGUGGGGUAAAGGCCUACCAAGGCGACGAUCCAUAGCUGGUCUGAGAGGAUGAUCAGCUACACUGGGACUGAGACACGGCCCAGACUCCUACGGGAGGCAGCAGUGGGGAAUAUUGGACAAUGGGCGAAAGCCUGAUCCAGCAAUGCCGCGUGAGUGAUGAAGGCCUUAGGGUUGUAAAGCUCUUUUACCCGAGAUGAUAAUGACAGUAUCGGGAGAAUAAGCUCCGGCUAACUCCGUG
rnacentral:rRNA from 1 species